rnacentral:lncRNA from 1 species
UUUACGAGGAAACUAGAACCAGCCUCCUGCUUGUGUUUUAAUUACUUAGCACAGGAAGGAUUGAUUUCAGAAAACCUCCAUGCUGAAGAAGAUAAUGAGCCCAGUCCCAGGAGGAGUUCAGGUCUUCAAAGAUUCUGGUUCCCAGACCCUGAAACUGCCUGCCAAGAAAGAAUCGCACAUCUAUCUGAGUAAUCUCUAUUUUUAUCCUGAAAAACGGAGAAAAGAAUUUCCUAAACCACUGGGAUGAGCUGCUGUUUACUAUUACCUCCAGAAUGAGGACCACUGUGUUCGUGAAGUUCCGAUGCUGGGUGCCACAGGUCACAUUCAUGUCACAAAUGCCCUCUGUGGCUCCACGUUCAGACGUUGGGUGAGCUGGCAGAGCAGACCGUCGAAGCCAUUCCUAUGGUGGAGGCUGGCCAUCCCUGAAUCACAGGUGCACGUGCCACCAACAUCCCCUAAACCCACACCAGAUGCAGCCUCAGCUUGGAUUCUUCUUCGCCAGAUCCCCAAAUGCCCACGGCCACUCCACAGCUGCCUGACCCCUGGGACACAGGGCAGAGGAGGAGGGAGAGUGGAAAGAGGCUGCAGUCUUAAACUAUUGCAGUUAGAGAUACAUAUAUUAUAUUUAUAUACGUGCAUUUUAUUAUUUAUAGUGUGUAUGGUAUAAUACAUAUUACAGGGAAAAUUUGUGACUUGUAUAAUAUUAUAUAAAGUUACUCACUAUAUAUAUAUCUACUAUAUGCAUAUAUACACCAUAUAUAUACUAUAUAUUAUAUAUAUAACAUAUAUUAUACAUUAUAUAAUAUAUAAUAUAUAUACACAUACUAUAUAUGUUGUAAACAUAUACACACACACACACUCACAGAUAUAUUGCAAAAUUGACAAAAAUA